CUGGAUCUACCACAGUACAUUGUUUGCUGUUGAGAAAUUGCAUCAGUUAUUGUUUUGUGACUCUCUGAAUUGAAACUGAAUUGUGAGGUGCUGAAAAGAUUUUCAUUCCUAAUAAUUAGAUGAAGUCUGUUCUUUAUAUCUGGGGAAAUCAAUGUGCUCUUGCAUCCAUGUGUGUUUGUGUUUGAAAGUCUGUCAACAGAGACUACAGUCAGAUGAUCUGAAAAAAAAACCCACCAUUAUUGGUGAUUCUGAAACCAUACUUUAUCAGAAAGAGGAACAGAUAAAAAAGCCUCAGAGAGGAAUUAUCAAGAGCUGAGGAGCAGUUUGCUCUUGCUCAGCUGGCCUGUCAUGACCUGAAUGUGAUCUUCAGCAAAAGUUCAUGGGAGAAGCAAGCCUGUGAGCUGAGAAUAUCUGCUGAGAUAGAUGACCUUUACUGCACCAAGAAGAACCUGGAAGAGAGACUCAUUGAGUGCAUAAGGUUAUGUGGUCAUCCCUUCUGUUACUACUGCUGCAGUUAUGUUGUGAGUGGCCAGCAGGGCGGCGGAAAGGAGCGUUGCUGUAAAUACUGUUACACUCGAGUGUCAGAGCGCCACCCACAGGCAGGUCUUUAUAGUUCUAUACAUCCACCCUACAGCCCACUAUCAAG